rnacentral:rRNA from 1 species
AGCGCAGGCGGUCUUUUAAGUCUGAUGUGAAAGCCUUCGGCUUAACCGGAGAAGUGCAUCGGAAACUGGGAGACUUGAGUGCAGAAGAGGACAGUGGAACUCCAUGUGUAGCGGUGAAAUGCGUAGAUAUAUGGAAGAACACCAGUGGCGAAGGCGGCUGUCUGGUCUGUAACUGACGCUGAGGCUCGAAAGCAUGGGUAGCAAACA